rnacentral:tRNA from 1 species
GCGGUUGUGGUGGAAUUGGUAGACACGCUACUUUGAGGGGGUAGUGGGGUUCACCUCGUGCCGGUUCGAGUCCGGCCAACCGCACCA